UACAGAGGGUGCGAGCGUUGUUCGGAAUUAUUGGGCGUAAAGGGCGCGUAGGCGGUUGAGUAAGUCACCUGUGAAAUCUCCCGGCUCAACUGGGAGCGUGCGGGCGAUACGGGCAGACUAGAGUACUGCAGGGGAGACUGGAAUUCCUGGUGUAGCGGUGGAAUGCGCAGAUAUCAGGAGGAACACCGGUGGCGAAGGCGGGUCUCUGGGCAGUAACUGACGCUGGAGAAGCGAAAGCGUGGGGAGCGAACAGG
rnacentral:rRNA from 1 species